rnacentral:lncRNA from 1 species
AGUUUAUAUCUUCACCUCGACAUCUUUAUCUUGCGACUGUUCGUCGUAUUGUGGAUCACCUACUCGUGGGUUGUUCUUUCCUAAAGGGUCUUCUCUUCACCUUUUGGCCUACAGUGAUGCUGAUUGGGCUGGGUGUCCGGAUACGCGUCGUUCUACUAUAGGGUGGUGUAUAUUUUUGGGUAAUGCAUUGAUUUCUUAGAAAUGUAAGAAAUAGGAUCGUGUUUCUAAAUCAUCUACUGAGGCUGAGUAUCGUGCUAUGUUUACAGCUUGUUCUGAGAUUAUUUGGCUACGUGGCCUUCUGGAGGAACUUGGGUUUCCUCAAACUAAUCCUACUCUUCUUCAUUCGGAUAACACUAGUGUUAUACAGAUUGCAAACAAUCCUGUAUUUCUUGAACGCACCAAACACAUUGAGGUUGAUUGUCACUUUAUUCGUGACACUUUGAUGGAUCGGGUGAUAUCUCUUCCCUACAUUAUUUCUGAUCUCCAAGUGGUAGAUGUGUUCACCAAAGCACUGACUCGACCGUGGCAUCAAUUCCUUAUUGGCAAAUUGUUACUGGUUGACCUCCCAGCAUCAAUUUGAGGGAAGAUGUUACCGAAAAUAGAGUUGGAUAUAUUUGGAAAAUAGAUUAUUUUAGGAAUUGUAUUUGUUUAGUUACCUUAUACAUUCAAUGACUAC